rnacentral:rRNA from 1 species
AACGAACGCUGGCGGCAGGCCUAACACAUGCAAGUCGAGCGAGGACUUCGGUUCUAGCGGCGGACGGGUGAGUAACGCGUGGGAACGUGCCCUUUUCUUCGGAAUAGCCCUGGGAAACUGGGAGUAAUACCGGAUGAGCCCUUUGGGGGAAAGAUUUAUCGGGGAAGGAUCGGCCCGCGUUGGAUUAGGUAGUUGGUGGGGUAAUGGCCUACCAAGCCGACGAUCCAUAGCUGGUUUGAGAGGAUGAUCAGCCACACUGGGACUGAGACACGGCCCAGACUCCUACGGGAGGCAGCAGUGGGGGAUCUUGGAAAAUGGGGGAAACCAUGAUCUAGCCAGGCCGCGUGAGCGAUGAAGGCCUUAGGGUUGGAAAGCUCUUUCAGCUGGGAAGAUAAUGACGGUACCAGCAGAAGAAGCCCCGGCUAACUCCGUG